GUGACUGGUAUCUUGAAACCUGUGGUGACAGUGUAUUAUUAAUCUGUAUUUUUAGCAUUUGAGCGCAUGUAAGUCUCCAGGGCACCAUGUCACAGAUCUAUAACAGAACUUCCCUGAACCCAUUCACAACGCUGCCAAGAAUAAUUCUGACUUUGCUCUGUGUGGCUGGGCAGUGAGGAGGCUCAAAAGACUUUAACCUUUUACUUUAAUCUCACAAUAUCUCAUUGCUGCCAUCAGGCAGGAGGUACAGGAACCUGAAGAUCCACCCGUCAAGGUUCAACAACAGCUUCUUCCCCACUGCCGUCAGGUUCCUGGCUUACUGCUUGUUAUGUCACUGGUGCUUAAGGCAGUAAUGAAGGCCCUCCAUCUCUGUCUGUCCUUGGAUAUCUUCUCAAGGUGUGGUUCAGCGUCCUCAUUUCUGCCUCUGUGGUACAGAGCCAAGUUGUCUUUGGUCUCCUGCAGGGGUUAAGUGAAGUUCUGUCUUGGUGGCGGAGUUGGCCUUUCUUCUCACCACGUGCCAGCACGUUCUCGAACUGACCUGAAAAACUCUAACUCUACCUUGGACGGCAUUUCUGAACUUACCAACAAGGAACAGCCUUCUAGCAACCAGUAUUGCAAAGUCAACGCUGUUCAGUGAGAGGACGUUGUACAAGAUAAUGGCCCAGAAAUUUGCAGCACCGAAGACACCCCUAAUCCUUCGCGACGUUGCCUUGGACAUCUGCUUUGCCUAGAGGCAAAAUAAGCAUUAUAAGAUAUUCAAGAAACAGGAUACAGUUCAUCUCUCCUGACAGGGGUUCAGAGGCCUGAUCUAUGGAAAUCCAGGGCAAGAACUGCAGGCCCAGAGCUCGAAUGUACGCAACGUUUUUUUCCUGGUUUGAAGGACGCCGGAACCCCGAAACACCAAGCAUUUCUUCUUCAACACUGUGUUCAGCCAAUUGCUCCUUAUGGGUAUUUGACCCUAUUUGACUCUCCAAAUCUCUGAUCUAUUUAAAAAGAGUAACUAUUAAACAGCUAUGAUGAGUUUAAGGUGGCAUAGUAGUGCAACGCUUUAUACCACUGGGUGUAAGGCAAUAUUCCUUCUAAUUUGUAAUGACCAGUGUGCGCAAAAAUCUUGUGCUGUGCAAUUUUUUGCCUGGUGACAACAUGUGCGCACUGAAUAAUUUCUUCAAUAAAAACAGUAUAAAUAAGCCAGUUCUAAAAUCUGCAGACAAAUCAUCGCAAACUCCACAUUGUCAACACCGUCCGCAUCCGAAACCAGAAAAGGAAACGCGAUCGUGUACAAUUGUAAAAUAUACUUAACAUACCAAUGGGGUAGAGGGUGACAACCUUUAGUGCGCAGUUUAAAUUCCUUUGUGCACCAGCAGCAAAAGAUGUGUGUGUACACACACGCUCACACCUCAGAGGGAACAUUGCUGUAGGGUUGGGGUUCAAUUUCCACUGUAGCCUGUAAGGAGCUUGUAAGUCCUUCUGCAUUCCAAAGGUGGAAGGGUUAGGGCUAGUGAGUUGUGGGUAUGCUACGUUGGCCCCAGAAUCAUGACGAUAAUCGUGGGCUGCCCAUCAUAAUCUUUACUGAUUUGAUUUAUAUAAACGAUGCAUCUCACUGCAUGUUUCGAUGUACAGGUCAAAAAUAAAGCUAAUCUUAUUUUAAAAGUCUAUGUCACCUUUACUUUUAAGGAACAAAGUAUGGUGCUCACAUUACUGAACUAGCAAUUAAGAAGUUUGGACUAAAGAUCAAAAGAAAUAAAUUCUAGUCCCAGCAACUAGGGAAGCUGUAACAAUCAACCUAACAGCCCAGCCCAACAAAAUGCAAAUGUGGUGAGAGACAAAUGGCAACUAAGGAUGGAACAACGUAAAUUCAGCAUUCAUGGUAUGGUUAACAAGACUGGACAGAGAUAUAAAGAAACUCCAUGAACACCUGAUAAAUACAAGCUUUCUAUACAGCUCCUCCAAAGUCAUUCUAACACAACACAUUAAGCACAGAACAUUGGGAAUGUGGAGGCAAUAAAGAUUAAAUGCAUUAGCACAGAGAAACAAGUGAAGGACAUGAGCACUGUAAGAUGAUAAACUUAAAAUGGACAAAACCAGAAAAGUCUAUAGGGUUGAAUAAUAUGAAAAAUUAGGUCUUUCUUUCAAUCAGCAAAUUAGUAUAAUCUGGCAAAGGAUGAUAUUUAUUGCUCAUUCUUCUGGCUGUCAGUGAGACACUGAUGGGACCUCAUCCAAAAAGUAGAGUGUUGCAAUAU